ACCAGCCUGCAGCUGGAGUGGAGAAGCCGACUGACUCUUCUCUAGAGACACCCCCGUCCCCCACCCACGCACAGGCCCCCGGGGACACAGGGACGUGGAGACCAGGCCAGAACAGGCAGAGGACCCCAGUGAGAGCGCCCCUUCUAACGCGGUCCAGUGAUCUCACAGGCUGUGCACGCCUGCAAAAGUGGGGCCAUCGAGAGAUGCAAGGCAGCUUCGCUAGACUCUGAGCAUGCAGGGGAUAUUCCAGGGACAGCGCCAGGUGCACACAGGACCGCUGGCUCACUCUGCCUACCCACAGGGGAAAGCGGAGAGUGCUAUCUACAGCAGCCCAUCUACCUCAACCUGCCCACGUUAGUCCAGGGAAAGAAGAAACCAAAGGCGCCAUACCCACAGCCAAACAGCCCCUUGGUCACCCCGAAAACCAUCCCGCCGGAAUGAAUGAGGUGAAGAGACCCACUCCGUCCGGCAGCCCCAAUGCCCAGCCGGCGCCUGCCACCUGACCCACAGCAGUGGCCCCAGUUGGGGGUCACACACCGCAGGGCACUCGCCGGGUCUCCCGCCACGCUCCGACCUCGCCCGAUCCAGCCGUCCCUACCCCCACCCCAGUCCCUCGCG